ensembl:lincRNA
CUCACCUAUUCUUAAUUUAUCUUGCUUAAGUAAAACCGUAUCUUCACUGAAAUGUUGGUUUCUUUUCCUUUUGCCCUGUUAUUUAUUUUUUAUUUAUUUUUAUUUUUUUGAGACCGAGUCUCGCUCUGUCGCCCAGGCUGAAGUGCAGUGGCGCGAUCUCGACUCACUGCAAGCUCCGCCUCCCGGGUUCACGCCAUUCUCCUGUCUCAGCCUCCUGAGUAGCUGGGACUACAGGCGCCCGCCACCGCGCCCGGCUAAUUUUUUGUAUUUUUAGUAGAGACAGGGUUUCACCAUGUUAGUCAAGAUGGUCUUGAUCUCCUGACCUCGUGAUCCACCCGCCUCGGCCUCCCAAAGUGCUGGGAUUUCAGGCGUGAGCCACCGCACCCGGCCUGCCCUGUUCUUAAAGUAAGAAACUGAUGUCUCUGGGAGCCCUGGUCAACUGGAAUUGGGGACUUGGUGCUGCUGGUUUGGUUGAGCUGCCGCUGCUAGGCCAUCUGAACCCACAGCAAGCUGAUGAUAGACUGCAGGAAAAGCUCCAUUCAGAUAGCAAGGGUCCUUCACCAGCCCCAUUCCACGACGCACUCAACGACCCUGCCUCCAAGGUACUGCUCUUCUGCUUUAAAUCACCUCUGUCUUCCACACUUCUGAACAUGAAGGCAACCUGAGAAUCCAUGUAAAUGUGUCUGCAAAUAAAGAAAAAGCCAACCAGUGCUUAAGGUGAGGACUGAAGCCUGACUUCUAGAUUGCUUUGGGGCCAUCUCUAAAAACUUGAAAGAAUUGUAUUAUUUUAAGAAAAAAGAAUUUUCCUGACAAUGAAAUCUUAUCUAUCAAUUCUAACAGUGUUUUGGAUAUAGGAUUUAUUGGAGACUUUUACAUGCUCAUGAUGUAGUAAUAAAACCACCUCCUAUUUUCCAAUUGAAGAAUCUUUGAACAUUUCCUCUUUGAUUUCUGUAUGAUAUGCAGCUUCCCUUGAGGUCAAGUUACACUGAGUAUACACACAAAUUAUUACAUGCCUCAACUAAAGAGAUUUCCUUAAUCAUUCUUUAAGAAAAAAGAAAAAUGGAAAAAAAAAAACCACUUUCACAAGCAAUUGUUUUGUUUUUAUUGUUAUUGAUGUUUGACCAAAGUUUC